rnacentral:rRNA from 1 species
AACGCUGGCGGCAGGCUUAACACAUGCAAGUCGAACGCGUGUAGCAAUACACGAGUGGCGCACGGGUGAGUAACGCGUGGAUAUCUGCCUUUUGGUUCGGAAUAACCCCGGGAAACUGGGGCUAAUACCGGAUGGUUCCUACGGGAUAAAGAUUUAUCGCCAAAAGAUGAGUCCGCGUACGAUUAGCUAGUUGGUGAGGUAAUGGCUCACCAAGGCGACGAUCUGUAGCUGGUCUGAGAGGAUGAUCAGCCACAUUGGGACUGAGACACGGCCCAAACUCCUACGGGAGGCAGCAGUGGGGAAUAUUGGACAAUGGGCGCAAGCCUGAUCCAGCCAUGCCGCGUGAGUGAUGACGGCCCUAGGGUUGUAAAGCUCUUUCACCCACGACGAUAAUGACGGUAGUGGGAGAAGAAGCCCCGGCUAACUUCGUGCCAGCAGCCGCGGUAAUACGAAGGGGGCUAGCGUUGUUCGGAUUUACUGGGCGUAAAGCGCACGUAGG